GACGAAUGCUGGCGGCGUGCCUAAUACAUGCAAGUCGAACGCAGUGGGGACGGGGGAGUAACACGUGGGUAACCUCCCAUCAGAGGGGAUAACACUUGGAAACAGGUUCUAAACCGAUACUGAUGGAUGGACCCGCGGUGCAUUCGCUAGUUGGUGAGGUAACGGCUCACCAAGGCCACGAUGCAUAGCCGAACUGAGAUGGGGAUCGGCCAAACUGGGACGGAGAACCGGCCCAGAGUCCUUCGGGAGGCAGCAGUAGGGAAUCUUCGGCAAUGGACGAAAGUCUGACCGAGCAACGCCGCGUGAGUGAUGACGGGCUGUGGGUUGGAAAGCUCUGUUAAUCGGGACGCGGUACCGGAAUAGAAAGCCACGGCUAACUACGUGCCAGCCGCCGCGGUAAUAC
rnacentral:rRNA from 1 species